GAAGACAACAUCUAUUACAUUUAGGACCA
rnacentral:piRNA from 1 species